GAUUAUGGCUCAGAACGAACGCUGGCGGCGCGCUUAAGCAUGCAAGUCGGACGGCAAGGGUUGUGCUUGCACAACUCCUAGGAGUGGCGGACUGGUGAGUAACGCGUGGGUGACCUGCCCUCGAGAUGGGGCUAGCCAUUAGAAAUAGUGGAUAAUACCGAAUACGCUCAUGACCCUGUAGGGAUAUGAGGAAAACAGGCUAACGGCCUGGCUCGAGGAUGGGCCCGCGUCCCAUUAGCUAGUUGGUGAGGUAACGGCCCACCAAGGCGACGAUGGGUAUCCGGCCUGAGAGGGUGUACGGACACAUUGGGACUGAGAUACGGCCCAAACUCCUACGGGAGGCAGCAGCUAAGAAUAUUCCGCAAUGGACGAAAGUCUGACGGAGCGAACGCCGCGUGGAUGAAAAGAAGGCCGGAAGGUUGUAAAAUCCUUUUGCUGAUGAAGAAUAAGUGUGGUAGGGAAUGACCGCAUGAUGACAUUAGUCGGUGAAUAAGCCCCGGCUAACUACGUGCCAGCAGCCGC
rnacentral:rRNA from 1 species